GACGAACUUUGGCGGCGUGCUUAACACAUGCAAGUCGAACGAUGAAGCCUAGCUUGCUAGGUGGAUUAGUGGCGAACGGGUGAGUAAUACGUGAGUAACCUACCUUUAACUCUGGGAUAAGCCUGGGAAACUGGGUCUAAUACCGGAUACGACCGAUCUCCGCAUGGGGUGUUGGUGGAAAGCGUUAUGUAGUGGUUAUAGAUGGGCUCACGGCCUAUCAGCUUGUUGGUGAGGUAACGGCUCACCAAGGCGACGACGGGUAGCCGGCCUGAGAGGGUGACCGGCCACACUGGGACUGAGACACGGCCCAGACUCCUACGGGAGGCAGCAGUGGGGAAUAUUGCACAAUGGGCGCAAGCCUGAUGCAGCGACGCCGCGUGAGGGAUGACGGCCUUCGGGUUGUAAACCUCUGUUAGCAGGGAAGAAGAGAAAUUGACGGUACCUGCAGAGAAAGCGCCGGCUAACUACGUGCCAGCAGCCGCGGUAAUACGUAGGGCGCGAGCGUUGUCCGGAAUUAUUGGGCGUAAAGAGCUUGUAGGCGGUUUGUCGCGUCUGCUGUGAAAGGCCGGGGCUUAACCCCGUGUAUUGCAGUGGGUACGGGCAGACUAGAGUGCAGUAGGGGAGACUGGAAUUCCUGGUGUAGCGGUGGAAUGCGCAGAUAUCAGGAGGAACACCGAUGGCGAAGGCAGGUCUCUGGGCUGUAACUGACGCUGAGAAGCGAAAGCAUGGGGAGCGAACAGGAUUAGAUACCCUGGUAGUCCAUGCCGUAAACGUUGGGCACUAGGUGUGGGGGACAUUCCACGUUUUCCGCGCCGUAGCUAACGCAUUAAGUGCCCCGCCUGGGGGAGUACGGCCGCAAGGCUAAAACUCAAAGAAAUUGACGGGGGCCCGCACAAGCGGCGGAGCAUGCGGAUUAAUUCGAUGCAACGCGAAGAACCUUACCAAGGCUUGACAUAUACUGGACCGCAUCAGAGAUGGUGUUUCCCUUCGGGGCUGGUAUACAGGUGGUGCAUGGUUGUCGUCAGCUCGUGUCGUGAGAUGUUGGGUUAAGUCCCGCAACGAGCGCAACCCUCGUUCUAUGCUGCCAGCACGUUAUGGUGGGGACUCAUAGGAGACUGCCGGGGUCAACUCGGAGGAAGGUGGGGAUGACGUCAAAUCAUCAUGCCCCUUAUGUCUUGGGCUUCACGCAUGCUACAAUGGCCGGUACAGAGGGUUGCGAUACUGUGAGGUGGAGCUAAUCCCUAAAAGCCGGUCUCAGUUCGGAUUGGGGUCUGCAACUCGACCCCAUGAAGUCGGAGUCGCUAGUAAUCGCAGAUCAGCAACGCUGCGGUGAAUACGUUCCCGGGCCUUGUACACACCGCCCGUCAAGUCACGAAAGUUGGUAACACCCAAAGCCGGUGGCCUAACCUUUUUGGAGGGAGCCGUCUAAGGUGGGAUUGGCGAUUGGGACUAAGAC
rnacentral:rRNA from 1 species